AUUGGUGCAGGGCGAGACGGCAACAUCUGAGAAGAAAAAUGCCACAAACAGCACGGACAUCGUGGAUGUGGAUGAAACAUUGAUCAUCAUUGACAUUAUGGAUGAAAACGACUCGCCUCCGCUGAUGGAUUGCUCUCUGUACGGCGACACCUGCGAUAAUUUAGUGGUGGGGUUCCCCGUGUCGCCGACCGCCGUUCUUCCAGCGCCGCUGCUGCGGCUCACUGUGACGGACGCGGACACGGGCUCGUUCGGUGUGGCUGGUGUCCAGUACUCGGUCAACUCGACCU